GCCAUCGUGGCUCAAUUGGUAGGGCGUUGCUUUCCUAAGGCAAAGAUUGCGGGUUCGAGUCCCGUCGUUGGUA